GAUCAUAAUAACUUGUCGAAUCGCAUGGCCUUGCGCCGGCGAUGGUUCAUUCAAAUUUCUUCCCUAUCAACUUUCGAUGUUUGGGUAUUGGCCAAACAUGGUCGCAACGGGUAACGGAGGGUUAGGGCUCGACCCCGGAGAAGGAGCCUGAGAAACGGCUACUACAUCCAAGGAAGGCAGCAGGCGCGCAAAUUACCCAAUCCCGAUUCGGGGAGGUAGUGACAAUAAAUACUGAUACAGGGCUCUUUUGGGUCUUGUAAUUGGAAUGAGUACAAUUUAAAUCUCUUAACGAGGAACAAUUGGAGGGCAAGUCUGGUGCCAGCAGCCGCGGUAAUUCCAGCUCCAAUAGCGUAUAUUAAAGUUGUUGUGGUUAAAAAGCUCGUAGUUGAACCUUGGGCCCAGCCGAACGGUCCGUCUCACCACGUUUGACUGGUCUGGCUGGGCCUUUCCCUCUGUGGAACCCCAUGCCCUUCACUGGGUGUGGCGGGGAACCAGGACUUUUAC
rnacentral:rRNA from 1 species